AUUGAACGCUGGCGGCAUGCCUUACACAUGCAAGUCGAACGGUAACGCGGGGCAACCUGGCGACGAGUGGCGCACGGGUGAGUAAUGCAUCGGAACGUGCCCAGAAGUGGGGGAUAGCCCGGCGAAAGCCGGAUUAAUACCGCAUGAGACCUGAGGGUGAAAGCGGGGGAUCGCAAGACCUCGCGCUUUUGGAGCGGCCGAUGUCAGAUUAGCUAGUUGGUGGGGUAAAGGCCUACCAAGGCGACGAUCUGUAGCUGGUCUGAGAGGACGACCAGCCACACUGGGACUGAGACACGGCCCAGACUCCUACGGGAGGCAGCAGUGGGGAAUUUUGGACAAUGGGCGCAAGCCUGAUCCAGCCAUGCCGCGUGCGGGAAGAAGGCCUUCGGGUUGUAAACCGCUUUUGUCAGGGAAGAAACGCUCUGGGCUAAUACCCUGGGGUAAUGACGGUACCUGAAGAAUAAGCACCGGCUAACUACGUG
rnacentral:rRNA from 1 species